GGGGGCGAAACGGCUUCGACGGGGAUAAAGAAGUUUUGACUGCAUACCGAGUUCCUUUCGGCUCGUAAAAACGAUGGGAUCUAAAGUAAUCGCAGACGAUUAUGAAUAUGCUUUAGCCGCAUAAAUGGCUAACGGCCUUUUGGAUGAUGCCUGCUAAUCCGAAAAGGGCGUCGACUAGCAGGAUAGUCUGUCCUGAAUGCCCGCUAACGGACCGACAAAACUAGCUGCGGGAUAGUCUCUCAAGAAUCGUGCCUGGAGGAGUCUUGAGGUGGCGAAAGCCAGAAUUCAGGCUAAGUAUGUAGAUGUCAAUGUGGAAUGUUUCCGGACGCGGGUUCGACUCCCGCCGCCUCCACCA
rnacentral:tmRNA from 1 species